CCUGGAAGCUGAACAAACCUCCCAAGCAGGCAAUUGCAGCCUCUUUUGCCUGUCCUGUCAGCCUUCCUAGAUUAAAAGUGAAGGUCUCUCUCUGGAUUAGCCCAGCGAACUGAUCCAGAUCGUUCCCCUUUACACAAA
rnacentral:snoRNA from 1 species